rnacentral:rRNA from 1 species
AUACGGAGGGUGCAAGCGUUGUUCGGAAUUACUGGGCGUAAAGCGCGCGUAGGUGGUCUGUUAUGUCAGAUGUGAAAGUCCACGGCUCAACCGUGGAAGUGCAUUUGAAACUGGCAGACUUGAGUAUUGGAGGGGGUAGUGGAAUUCCCGGUGUAGAGGUGAAAUUCGUAGAUAUCGGGAGGAAUACCGGUGGCGAAGGCGACUACCUGGCCAGAUACUGACACUGAGGUGCGAAAGCGUGGGGAGCAAACAGAAUUAGAAACCCCAGUAGUCC